AGUUGGCAGGGCUCCCUAAAUUCUUCAUUUGGACAUUUUUAGGCAAUUACAGAGUUCGACCUCCAGCUUCUCCCUUAUGGGAAGGAGCAUGAGAACCAUCAGACACGCCUGAUGGUUCUCAAACAGUGAAAGCUGAGGCUAGUUGCAUAUAUGGCUUUUUCAGCCAAGCAUGAUCUAAAAUCAAGCUCAAAACAACACAAUACUACUUUAGCCUGUUUAAUAACCAAUUUCUCAUGAGCAUGGACCAUCUUACGAAAAACGGUUUUAGCCAUGCUCGACCCUUGGAUUGUCAAUCAUUUUUUGUCAUUUGUUACACUUUCAUCUACUUUGACCACGUGACAAGAGGAGUUUUGCAGUAUUAUACUCUAUUUAUAUGAUCUAGACUAUCUAGUUUUGAGAAAGAAAAUGGUAGCUGCUUUUUUCAACCAAUAUUUGCAUCUAACUUCAAUUCAUCCAUGCUUCACUAGUACUAGUUCGAGUUCCAGAAGAUAUAGAGGACUAAGCAGCAGCAGUCUACUACAUCCUGUCAGGCCUUGUAGAUUAGAAUCCAUAAGAACCGCUACUGAUCCUAACAAUCAUGAUACUUACGAAGAAAAUGUUUCGAUUAACUGGAACUGGGUCAGCUCAUCAUUUAGAUUCAUGGAAGAGCAACUGAUUGGAAGGUUCGUUGACCAAAAAUCAUCUCCGCCGAGGAACACGACUGUGGAUAUGAACCGCCUCGUUGACUUCUUGUACGAGGAUAUACCGCAUGUAUUUGAUGAUCAAGGGAUUGAUCAUACUAUGUAUGAUGAAAAUCUUAGGUUUCGAGACCCGAUCACGAAAUAUGACAGCAUCUACGGCUAUCUUGCUUAUAUUUUUAUGUUGAAGAAUCUUUUUAAACCAGAGAUUCAGUUGCACUAUAUCAAACAGACAGGACCUUACCUUGGAAUGAUGAAGCUAAUGACCGCAAUGAUGAAGCUAAUGACCGUACCUUGGAAACCUCGGCUAGUUGUAACAGGAACGUCAAUCAUGCAUAUCAAUCCAGAGAACCAUAAAUUUUGCAGUCAUGUUAGCAAAAUGAAUAUUUUUCAAUAGAGGGAUUGAUGGAUGUUAUAGAACAGCUAGGAAUUUCCAUGAACCCGGAUUCAGAAUCUCCAUAUUAUCAAAUACUAAAAAGAACUUCAGAUUAUGAGGUAUAUACGUACUGGUAUGGCUUUUGGGAGUAUGCAAGCUUAUAAGGAUCAAAGACUGCUACUGUUGAUGUACCACCAUUUUCAAAGGGCAAGACAGCUGCUACUACACCAUCUUCUUCUACAGCUGGUUCCCAGAAAAAGUGUAAGACAACUGCACCAUCCUCUUCCGCUGCAGUUGAUGUUGGAUCUAAAAGGAAGGUACCAUCUACUUCUUCUACACCUUCUAGUGCCUGUUUUAACCAGAUUUUUAAUGGUACUGUUAACAUUUCUAGCCAAACAAUCAACAUUACCGAACCAUCAUCAAAAAGGGUUAGAAAGCCUAACUCCAAGUAUCGACAAUAGAAAUGCAGGGUUCCUAUUUUAUGUCUUUUUAUGUCUUUUAGCAUUUAUAGACCUAUGUCUUUUAAUGGCAGACAUACUACUAGUUAGUUUAUGUUGAAAGUUUUAGCAGACUUUUAUUUAUGAAUCUAUGAGUUUAAAAAGUAUGGACACAAUCAUGGUUUUAUUUCUUAAUUCAGCUCAUUACAUUGAGGAAUACUUCCAAUAUGAUAACAUUACAUUAACCUUUUCUGACAUGAGUUUUGGUUGUGCUUUAUCUUCUAAUUGUGCACUUUAUCUUUAGUUGUGCACAAAUUUGAUCUUCAAUAUUAUCUAAUUGCUUUUGUUUCUUCAUAAAGAUUGCAUCAGAAACCCAUUGGAAAUCUUCACAUUCUAGGCAUUUUAGGUAGCCAAUACCAUAAUUCCAUGAUGUUUGAGCUAUGUUUAAAAUCCCCACCUUUGUUGAGUUGCAUUUGGGGUUGAUACAUCUAGUCUGUGACCAAGGACAAUCAGAAAAUUUGUGAUCACCAACACAAGCUUUACAACCUCCAUUGUACUGAGGUGCAAUGGAUUUAAUUGCAUCAUCAAACCAUUCGAAGUAUGAACACAUGGGAUUAGAGCAAGGGAAGAAAUGUUUAUGGUUGUAACCGCAAUUCUUUUGUGAACACUAGAUAUGUUGGAAGUGCCAGCCCAAUAUGAACAAGUUGUAAAUAUAAUUAGGGUUUGUACACUAUACUUAUUAAGGGGGAUAAUUUUCAGUGGGCUAAGUCUGU